rnacentral:rRNA from 1 species
AGACCUCUGAUCAGAAAAGACUACCCGCUGAGUUUAAGCAUAUCACUAAGCGGAGGAGAAGAAACUAACCAGGAUUUCCCUAGUAACGGCGAGCGAACCGGAAAGAGCCCAGCUUGAAAAUCGCGGCG